rnacentral:rRNA from 1 species
UGUCCCCUACGGGGCGCAGCAGUGGGGAAUUUUGCGCAAUGGGGGAAACCCUGACGCAGCAACGCCGCGUGAGGGAUGAAGGUCUUCGGAUCGUAAACCUCUGUCAGCAGGGAAGAACGGUCACUGUGCUAAUCAGCAGUGAAUUGACGGUACCUGCAAAGGAAGCACCGGCUAACUCCGUGCCAGCAGCCGCGGUAAUACGGAGGGUGCGAGCGUUAAUCGGAAUUACUGGGCGUAAAGCGCUCGUAGGCGGUAUGUCAAGUCAAGGGUGAAAUCCCCGCGCUCAACGUGGGA